CGGAAAAAGUGCAAUAUAGUGUUGCGUCCCUCCCUUGGUAAAUGUUUCGGAUCCGCCCCUGUAUAGGAAAGGGGGGGGGGUAAUCCUUUUACUGAAAAUAUUCUGAUCCACAUUGGAAGGGGGGGGGGUCACAGGUAAAAUUGCAUGCUAGUCAUUGACACUUUGAAAUUUUUAUAAUUUUGUUUCGCUGCAAGCAAGAGAAUUUACGAUGGUGGAUGUAGAAGGCACAUGAAAUUGCAUCUCAACCCCCUAUGGUAGAACAUUUUAGACUAAAUUUUUCUUUUCUUUUGUCAUUUCGGGGUCUUCUAUUUUCUCUCACUUUGUUUGGUACAAAAAGUUUUUUAAAAUUUUUUAUCUUAUAUCUUGAUAUUGCCCGGCAACAUGAAUUUUCCGCUUACCGGAAAGACCCGAGAAUGUGCGAUUGAUAAAACAAGAGUUGUCUUUCUUGAUGUAGCAGAAGACACUUGCAGCGAAAACGAAGAUGGACGCCGAAUCAGCAUGAUCAGACAUGACAGAAAGCUUAUAUUUGCAGAUGCUUAGCGAAAAUGACUGUCGGGUACAGUACUAUUACAUGCCCGUGAUUUUAUAUACAGCAAGAUUACGACUGAAGUUCCACCAGUUGGAAACAAGUCCUCCAUCACAAACGAGGGACUAUGUUGCACACAUUGAGCAGUCUCCAGUAUAGCACAGAACAGUGGCCUCCAGGACUUUAGUGUUUCAGGAGAUUCAGCUCAUCACUUCAAAGGGCCUUCACUCUGCUGUUCAGAUGACAAAUACAAUGUGACUUCAUAGGGAUGUGUAAUAUGGCUGUAGAAGUUUUUGUGCCAAGUUUCAUGAAAAUCAAAGAAGAAGCCUGGUAGGAGGAAUUUGCCGCUUGACCAGGAUCAUUGUCUGGGUCAUCCGGUCAGUGGUUACCACCUGUACUUCAAGGUCACUCUCAGAGGAGUCCCGACAGCAUCCGUAUUCCAGGCGAUGCAUUGAAAUGCUUAAACCACAUGCCCCAGGACUAAAAAAGUGCUAUUAUUUAUGACUUGUGUGAUAUGGAGAGUAGGAGUGUCGGUGGAUAGAAGAAUUGUUCUCAGUUCAUCAUUACCUGCUGGUGGAGAGUAUGAGUGUCGGUGGAUAGAAGAAUUGUUCUCAGUUCAUCAUUACCUGCUGGUGGAGAGUAUGAGUGUCGGUGGAUAGAAGAAUUGUUCUCAGUUUAUCAUUACCUGCUGGUGGAGGCUGAACACUUUGAUAAACAUUACUGUUGUCUUGCUGAGAUGUAGCAAUCAGUGUGAGGUUUCAUUUACUGAAAGAAGAGUCGGAGAACUACCUCGGUCUCAAGAGAUGAUGACACCCUGACCACAGGAACACUUCCUUCCUCCUACAAGCAGAAAGAGGCUGUCUUACCAUCUGAUUCAUUUCUGGAAAUAGUCUUCCAAAUAGAGGGGGGUAUUGGUCACUAGAAGAGUCCGGCUGAUUGACGAGGAAUUGUCCUGAGACUGUGACAUAUUGUAGAGUAGCGGUCACCAGAGAUGUAAGGCUGAUUGAUGAGGGCAGUUUUCCUGAGGCUCUGUAAAAAUAUCAGAUCGAAGAAUGCCAAAUGACUGUGGAGUGUUGUGAUGUUACUGAUGGUCAACAGAAGACUGUGACCUUGAAUCUGAAGAUCUGUGAUGAAGACCGGACAUUUGGGGCCACUCUCUGUUACAGUACUACAAAUCUAACAGUGUUAUACUCAGCCACAAAGAGGUUGUCUCUGAUGUCCACACAUAAACCGUGAGGAAACUCUAAAUCACAGUGAAUGUAACGGAGGAACUGUCCGUCCUGAUCUAGGAUGUGGAUACGGUUAUAGACAUGGUCUGC